rnacentral:piRNA from 1 species
UCCAAGUCCGAGAACAAUUGGUACGCAGAC